GUUUAUCAAAAACAUAGCCUUAAGAAAUAAUUUAAGGUAAGCCCUGCCCAGUGGAAAAUAUUCUUAACGGCCGCAGUACCUUGACUGUGCUAAGGUAGCGUAAUCAGUUGGCUUUUAAAUGGAGUCGAGAAUGAACGGGGCCAUGGGGAGAUACUGUCUCUUUCUUGAUUAAUUUAACUUGCUUAAUAGGUGAAAAUACCUUUAUAAAGAAAAAAGACGAGAAGACCCUUAGAGCCUAGCAAUAUAAUAUAGUUUAUUUGCUUUUGUUGGGGCGACAAGAAGACAAAAUAACUCUUCUUUAAUACUAAACGAUUAUAAUAUAUAAGAACAGGCUACCUUAGGGAUAACAGCAUAAUUAUACUUUUAGUUUGUGACCUCGAUGUUGGACUAGGAACUUGAUGACUAGUCGUCAAUAAAGGAAAGUUCUGUUCGAACUAUUUUUCCUACAUGAUCUGAGUUCAAACC
rnacentral:rRNA from 1 species